UACGUAGGGGGCAAGCGUUGUCCGGAUUCAUUGGGCGUAAAGAGCGUGUAGGCGGCCAGGUAGGUCGGUUGUGAAAACUGGAGGCUCAACCUUCAGAGGUCGACCGAAACCAUCUGGCUAGAGUCCGGGAGAGGAGAGUGGAAUUCCUGGUGUAGCGGUGAAAUGCGCAGAUAUCAGGAAGAACACCAAUGGCGAAGGCAGCUCUCUGGACGGUACUGACGCUGAGACGCGAAAGCGUGGGGAGCGAACAGG
rnacentral:rRNA from 1 species